CUACUACAGAAAUGGGUUUCGUAGACACCGGCCCAAACUAAACAAUGACGCAUUUUUUAACCAACGUCCUUGUAACCCAAUAAGGACGCUUAAAAUUUUGAACAGCACGGCCCUUAGCUAUAAUGAUAAAUGUUUAGAAUCCUUCUCUCCUUUCGAGACGUGAACAAAAUAAACAAAGAAAACUGAAGAGCCCCUUCUGCUCUCCACUUCGUCUUCUCCGGUUCUCUCUCUCGAUCGAGUGAGAGCUGUAUUCAUGAAAUCACCGCCGAUUCCUAGAUUAGCGACCAUUCAACAUCGAAUCCCUUGUCAUCUCCGUGUAUGCAUAAAACCUUCUCUUCUGCACACACAUGCUGCCAAAUCCCCUGUUUGUUUCAGCUAGAGCAAAUGGAGCAGCAACUUGAAAAAAUUCUUGAUUCUGUACAGGUUGAUUCAAAGAAGUUUGGAAUGCUGGCAAAUUGGCAGCGGGAUUUCACCAUGGAAAACAUAUUGAUGCAGCUGAAGAAGGAAAUGACAGCCUCACACAUACUUAAAAUACCAGCUGCUGAAACUUGUUAGAUAUUCUACGUACUAAUAUUAGGCUUCAGACUCAGAACACAUGCUCAACUUAAGUUGCUAGUAGCUGCUGGCAUGUUUAAAUGUUAAAGUUUUUAACAGGUUGAGGACUAUCAAAAGAAAGAUCAAAACGCCAAUAAAGUACAUUAACUACCGGGAUUAUACACGAGUCCUUCAAUCAUGGAGUACAAAGCUCUGGGUUAAAUGUGAGCAUCAUUAUAUGUGUAUCUGAUUCAUUAUGUGUGUGUGUUAUAUCUAUUAUGCAGGUCUUAUCACUGACAACUUGUAGUGCAGUAAGCUAAGCCUUAAACAUACCAUACAUGCUAACUAAGAAACUUUUCUCUGUGAAUAACUGCAUUUUACUUCAAAUUUUACAAUCAUUAUCUCUUAUUGUUUUUACUUUUGAAAAUCCUUUUGGUGCAGGUUAUUCACUACUGUCAUGUUUCUUCAAACUGUAUCAAAGGUAGUGGAUGAAGAUAUUGGAGAUGAUGAAACCAAGUUUUGUGCCUCUAUAGUCAUCUAAGAUCACAUAGGAUAUCAACAUGUAAUAAGGAAUUAUUUAGUUGGUUUUAAUUGUAGCUUAGUUAACUAUUGUCAUCUAGGAUUAGAUAAGGAUUAAAUUAUGUUUAGUCCCUGUACUAUGACCCUUUUUUCAUUUCAGUCCCUGACAUUCUCAAUUAAUCUGAAAAGUCCCUAACGUCAAAAUUUCCGUCUGAUUGGUCCCUCCCGCGUCAA